AGUUCCUUAACUCAGUGGUAGAUUAUUUUACUGCAGAUCAAGAGGUUACUAGUUCGAACUUGGUAGGGCCUU
rnacentral:tRNA from 1 species